rnacentral:lncRNA from 10 species
AUUCCGGAACGGGAAGAAGGAGCUGUCUCUCUCUUCUGAGGGGUAGGCAGGUGCUUCCGAAUCGCGGAAUGUAGGUGCUCAUAAGCUGGAGACCCACGGAAAGAACCUAGAAGCUCCGAGCGGUUGCAGACAGCACUGCAUUGAGCCAACGACUCCUGCUCUACUGAUGGUGAUUCCACAGCUUUGUGAGGAAUAAGUUAAGAUGAAUUACAGUUUCCCCUGGACUUCUUUCUCUCUCCUGCCGCCUUGUGAAGAAGGUGCCUGCCUCCCCUUCCACCACGAUUCUAAGUUUCCUGAAGUCUCCCCAGCCAUGCUGAACUGAUAAGGUCCAUCUUGGCAAAUGGUCUGUGUGCACAAGAAAGAAUGUGAAUUCUGCAGUUGUUGGAAUGUUAUCUUAUCUGGAAGAAGAGGAAUAGGAAAGAAAAGGAGUCAGGAAUGGAUCUUACUCAGAAGGCUGACUAGACACAGCCAGGUGGAAGAGCUCCCACUGCGGGACCAAGAUGACUGGAAUGCCCCUAACAGAUCUUCAGAGGGAAGAAACCAGGAGUGGACAGAGAGAAGACACAGAAGCUGGGCUGAAGGUAGUGAAAGCUGGGAAUGUGGCACAGGACUACUGCACACCAGGUUUUGUUCCUGGCCCACAAUGGCUCUGGGGGAUCAGCCGUGUAAGAUAUGCCUGCUUCCCCUUCACCUUCUGCUAUGAUUGGGAGUUUCCUGAGGCCUCCCCAGCCAUGCUUCCUGUACAGUCUGUGGAACCAUGAGCCAAUUAAACCUCUUUUCCUUAUAAAUUA